UACGAAGGGGGGCUAGCGUUGCUCGGAAUCACUGGGCGUAAAGGGCGCGUAGGCGGCUUUAUAAGUCGGGGGUGAAAGCCUGUGGCUCAACCACAGAAUUGCCUUCGAUACUGUAGAGCUUGAGACCGGAAGAGGUAAGUGGAACUGCGAGUGUAGAGGUGAAAUUCGUAGAUAUUCGCAAGAACACCAGUGGCGAAGGCGGCUUACUGGUCCGGUUCUGACGCUGAGGCGCGAAAGCGUGGGGAGCAAACAGG
rnacentral:rRNA from 1 species